UGGUGAGGAUGUGUGGGUCUUGGAGUUGGAAAUUUGCAGAACAGGGGCAGGAGAAGCAGUGAGAAGGGUGUCACGUAUUCUUCAAAUAGUAACUGUGCUUGGUCUCCAUUGGCCCAUGUGUAUGGUAUUUGCCAAUUUUGAAUUGAGUAGGGUAUCCAUUUAAAAAAAGAAAGGGAAGGAAAGAAAGAAAAGUCAUAUACCUAAGGGACAGGAAAGUUUGGACCUCAUGUCUUUCCUGAUGACCGGAAUGGCCUCAGGACACUUCUUUCCCAGAAUCCCUCUUUCACCAUGAACUUUGGCCUUUUAAAGAGACUUUCCUCUUAUACUCUGAGCUUCUCACAGGUGAGUGCUGAGUGAGGCUCACUGAGUUGAUUUUCCCUGUGGGUUUUUUUUCCUUUCCCUUUGUGACGUCUGUGUCCUUUGUUCAUUCUAACCAGUCAAAACAAGUUGAUAUCUCCUGUGUCUCCAGGAUUGAGCUUUGAAAAUUAAGGUGUAUUCUUCCUUAUACAGCAUUGAUAGUCACUAACAGUAAUUACAGAUCCUGAGUAUCCCGUGGCAAUUAUUUGGUUAUUUUGAUAAGAAUGGUCCUCUUAGCAGGAAGAAUGCACCCUGAUGCAGAACACUUGAGGGCAGAGUGGGACGUGGCUUAUUCUGAGGAUUCACUUGAAUGGCCUUGAUAAGAAAGGACUCUCAGUCUCAGAGCAUGGCUCCUUAGGGAGUGAGCCAUGGGGAUCAUUGCUGUUUUCUCUGGGAAAUAAUCUAAAGAACAAACCUCGGGAGAUGAGCGAAUGGCUCGCUCACUGCCACAGCGUCGCCUCUGCCUCCUCCUGGCCGCCUCCCUUUGUCCAGCCUUUUCUGCCUUGAAUGUUGCCCGAUUUAAAGGUUAGCAAACAGUCCCUGAACCGAGGACACAUGCAGGGAGUGCUGGUGGGCGUCUGCUCGGCAGGGCUGUGAAGCCUAACCCCUGGUCAAGCGUGCAAACUCUCACGGAGCGUACUUCCGAGGGCCUGAGGCUUCCAGCUGAAACCCAACUUCCUUUUUGUUUGAACAAGAUGAAAUCUCUCCCCCUUUUUAAUCCAAACAUAUAGUAAAAGACACGUUUUGUCACAUUUGACAAUUCCAUUCAAGAUGCUGCACAAAACAACAGCAUCUCUGCAUCAUCCUUUUCCAAUUAAAUGUUUAUUCUUUAUCCUGGAUUUGACUUGGGGAAGGGUAACAGCAUGUUCAUAUAAACAUCGGUUAGCUCUCGCCAUAUCUGCACCUCUGAGUACUAGACUGAAGAUUCUAUGACGAGUGUGUUUUUACUCAUUUGAAUUCAUUUUUCCUCAGGACUCUUACUAUGGUGGCCAACUUGUCUCACAGUUGCUUUAUUUAUUUAAGAAUGCAGGUAAGGUGUCCUUACCUGCUUGGUAUCCUGGCGAUGGCAGUGUAGAGUCAUAGGGCUCUGUGACCUGGGACCUCAGUCAGCAUGUACAUUCUGUUUCCUUGGAGAAACAGAGGCAGGUUAGUGCGGACACACGGCUUGUACGCUUUACCUCUUUUGACCAGUAACAGACAGGUAUGCAUUAGCCCAAAGUAAAAAGUACUGUCAAACAAAUAUGUCCACAAAACCUGAUGCAGUGUUUGUUGAACAGGUGAGCACCUUUGUUGGUUACACUUUAGGGAGGGGGCAUUUCAGAUUGUCACUUCUGUUUUAUUUCUGUUUGUGCUCUGAUAACUCCAACCCCAGCCUAAGAGCUGUAGAAUUUGGCGCUGAGUAGGUCAUGUUAAUAUGCUGAAGGCAUGUUAUAGUUG
rnacentral:lncRNA from 1 species